CCUCUCGUAGUUUAGUGGUCAGAACAUUGGUGUGUAAAGCCAAAGGUCCCGGGU
rnacentral:tRNA from 1 species